rnacentral:tRNA from 1 species
UAGCCUAGUGGUAAGGCUUUGGAUCGCGAAUCCGGAGACGGCGGGUUCGAUUCCCGU